GGAAGGGGUGUAUUUAUUAGAUAAAAAACCAAUGCCCUUCGGGGCUCCUUGGUGAUUCAUAAUAACUUAACGAAUCGCAUGGCCUUGCGCCGGCGAUGGUUCAUUCAAAUUUCUGCCCUAUCAACUUUCGAUGGUAAGAUAGUGGCUUACCAUGGUCUCAACGGGUAACGGGGAAUUAGGGUUCUAUUCCGGAGAGGGAGCCUGGGAAACGGCUACCACAUCCAAGGAAGGCAGCAGGCGCGCAAAUUACCCAAUCCCAAUUCGGGGAGGUAGUGACAAUAAAUACUGAUACGGGGCUCUUUCGGGUCUCGUAAUUGGAAUGAGUACAAUCUAAAUCCCUUAACGAGGAACAAUUGGAGGGCAAGUCUGGUGCCAGCAGCCGCGGUAAUUCCAGCUCCAAUAGCGUAUAUUAAAGUUGUUGCCGUUAAAAAGCUCGUAGUUGAACCUUGGACCUGGCUGAUCUGUCCUCCUAAUCGAGCGCACGGAUUCGGUCGGGUCUUUCCUUCUGGGGAGCCCUAUGCCCUUCACUGGGUGUAGUGGGGAACCAGGACUUUUAC
rnacentral:rRNA from 1 species